AUUGAACGCUGGCGGCAUGCCUUACACAUGCAAGUCGAACGGCAGCACGGGAGCUUGCUCCUGGUGGCGAGUGGCGAACGGGUGAGUAAUACAUCGGAACGUACCCUGAAGUGGGGGAUAACGUAGCGAAAGUUACGCUAAUACCGCAUAUUCUGUGAGCAGGAAAGAGGGGGAUCGCAAGACCUCUUGCUUUAGGAGCGGCCGAUGUCGGAUUAGCUAGUUGGUGAGGUAAAGGCUCACCAAGGCGACGAUCCGUAGCGGGUCUGAGAGGAUGAUCCGCCACACUGGGACUGAGACACGGCCCAGACUCCUACGGGAGGCAGCAGUGGGGAAUUUUGGACAAUGGGCGAAAGCCUGAUCCAGCCAUGCCGCGUGAGUGAAGAAGGCCU
rnacentral:rRNA from 1 species